rnacentral:sRNA from 1 species
UCGUCUGCAAUGAUAACUCCCUGCAACAUCCUAACAAGAAGUCCACUAUGCGCAGCUGGGAGCUUUAUUUAAUGUGCGGAGUCUUGCCAGUUUCAGUUAUUCUUGUUGUGCAGUUCUUUACUAGAAUCUGUACAAUGUGAUUCCCAUCAAUGUGAAUCUUCUUUUUGGAGCAGCCAGGGAGACUGCCCUCCUGCCCUUUACUUCAGCAUGGAGCAAACCCGAAUAUAGUGACUAAGCCAGUGGAGGAUCACAACGACCCCAAGUGCUGUGAGGAAAUCUAUGGCCUAAGCAAUGUUCCCAUUGCUGAAGCAUGCAAACAGAGGUCCCUGGCAAUGUUGGAUCUCUUGCUGAAGCACGGCGACGACAAUGGUUCGGGCUAUUGGAAUAGCAAUCAGCGGCGGAGAUGAAGAGGUUUCCUUGACAGUCAUCACCCGCCAUCAUGUGCUCACUAAAGUUCCUCAAGAGCUGUUUCAUCUGGUCAGUCUCAAAUAUUUAAAUAUUGCUCAGAACAGGAUCACUGAUCUGCCAGCCCCAGUAGGAAAGAGCUAUAGCUGCCCUGUUUUGGAUGAGCAUUUCCUCCAGGAUAACCAGUUAACCAGCCUUCCCAUGGCCAUAUUCCAUUUGCCCGCUUUGACCAUCCUGAAUGUUUCGAAUAACAAACUGCAAAAGUUGCCCUUCGAUUUGUGGCGAGCUCCGAAGUUGCGGGAGCUUAUGUGGCAUUCAGUCCGUGCCAUCCGUGCAAACCAGUAGUUCCCUGCUGAGUCUGGACAAACUGCAGCUGCAGACUUUUGAGGAGCCGCGAUCGAACAAGCCCCGCAAUGUGAACCAACAGUGUCUAACGCAUCGAAAUCUCUGGCCCGGCUCUCUGGAAAUAACCGACAACGACCUUAAAUGGCAACAGGAUCCAGACUUGGGAGAUGGCAAGACGGCAGGAACGGGAUCCUCCCAGCUCAGCAGUCUCAACAUAGCCAACAACCUGUUCACCAGCAUUCCCUCAGCUCUACCUUGCUUGGCCGUUAAUCUGACUAGGCUGAACAUGUCCUAAUAAUUAUUAUUUUUUAUAUUUUCACAUUAUCAGCGGGGUUCUGUUGUUCUGACUUAGAAGUCGGAAGGAUAACUUUGCAGAAUCACAACCUCCUUUGAAGUUGAGGAUCUUGCCCGGCUCACACCCUGUUCGAGUUGGUAGGUACUUGGAUCGACCACCAUUCCCAGGAAUUCCAACAACCAGUGGAAUCAUUGCGCCCAGAAUAAUAAAUAUUUUUAAAUUCAUU